GCCCCUUCCAAGUUAUCUCUACUGCACAUUCCCGACAACUUGCAUCUAGAUAAUUCAUAUCUAGCAUUGUAGUGUUAUUUUAUGCAGCAAUGGUAGUAGCAAAAAAAUAUGUUGUUGUCAAGUAUUUUGAAGGAGAGCCAAAGUCUACAGACUUAAAAUUAAUCAAUGAAGAAUUACCAUUGCUGAAAAAUGGAGAAAUUUUGGUUGAAGCUGAAUAUUUAUCAGUUGAUCCUUAUAUGAGACUUUACAUAAAACAAGUCCCAUUGAACUCUACGAUGUUUGGAGCACAAAUUGCGAUAAUUGUUGAAUCUAAAAAUGCAAAUUAUCCAGUUGGGAAAAGAAUCGUUGGACAUUUAGGCUGGAGAACACAUACAGUAAUUAACAUGAAUGAUUUUGAUGAAGAUAGUUUGUUGGAAUUAAAGCCAGAAAUACUACCGGACACUGGAGAUUUACCGGUGUCACUUUGCCUUGGUGUGCUAGGACUUAUUGGGCAUACAGCAUAUUUUGGAUUAAUGGAAAUUUGCAAGCCAAAGGCAGGAGAAACUUUGGUUGUAUCAGGAGCAGCAGGAGCUGUUGGAUCUCAUGUCGGGCAAAUUGGAAAAAUUUUGGGGAUGAAAGUAAUAGGAAUCGCUGGCAGUGAUGAAAAAUGUAAAUGGAUUACCAGCGACCUGGGAUUCGACCAUGCGAUUAAUUACAAAACUCAAGACGUAGCGACUGAGUUGAAAAAAGUUGCUCCCCAAGGAGUUGACUGUUACUUUGACAAUGUGGGUGGAGAAAUAUCGAGCGCAGUUAUUUACCAAAUGAAUCCAUAUGGGCGAGUUUCAGUGUGUGGUUCUAUCUCAGCAUACAAUGCUAAUCUUGACGCUUUGCCCAAGUGUACUAUCACUCAACCUGCUAUGGUAAUGCAGCAAUUGAAAGUAGAAGGAUUUCUCAUGUUGCGCUGGAAAGAUCGGUCAAUGGAAGCAUUUGAAAAAAAUCUCCAAUGGAUCCGCGAAGGAAAACUUGUUUAUCGAGAAACUGUAACAGAAGGUUUUGAAAAUAUAUUCAAUGCGUUUUUACAUAUGCUCCGUGGGAGUAACAUUGGCAAAGCCAUUGUCAAAGUUUAGAUAAAAAGUAAGGGGCACAAUCAGUGUGAAAUUUUCAAAAAAUCGAUUUUUUUUUUCAUAUUUCGAUAGGUUGUACCUUUACAAAUAACGUUUUUAAAUUUCAAAUAGUUUUUGAGUUACAGCCAUUUAAAGAGUAGCCUCUCGGCAGUUAGAAUAAGAUCAUUUUAUCUUUAAACGCGUUUUUCUCGAAACAGCAUUUUUCAAAUUUACAUUUACAUAG
rnacentral:misc_RNA from 1 species